rnacentral:rRNA from 1 species
UACGGAGGAUGCAAGCGUUAUCCGGAUUCAUUGGGUUUAAAGGGUGCGUAGGCGGUCUAUUAAGUCAGUGGUGAAAGCCUGCAGCUUAACUGCAGAACUGCCAUUGAUACUGAUAGUCUUGAGUUUGGUUAAGGUAGGCGGAAUGUGUAAUGUAGCGGUGAAAUGCUUAGGUAUUACACAGAACACCAAUUGCGUAGGCAGCUUACUGAGCCGACACUGACGCUGAGGCACGAAAGCGUGGGGAUCGAACAGGA